GCAGCCUGAUGCGCCAUGCCGCGUGUGUGAAGAAGGCCUUCGGGUUGUAAAGCACUUUCAGUCGUGAGGAAGGUGGUGUAGUUAAUAGCUGUAUUAUUUGACGUUAGCGACAGAAGAAGCACCGGCUAACUCCGUGCCAGCAGCCGCGGUAAUACGGAGGGUGCGAGCGUUAAUCGGAAUUACUGGGCGUAAAGCGCAUGCAGGUGGUUUGUUAAGUCAGAUGUGAAAGCCCGGGGCUCAACCUCGGAAUAGCAUUUGAAACUGGCAGACUAGAGUACUGUAGAGGGGGGUAGAAUUUCAGGUGUAGCGGUGAAAUGCGUAGAGAUCUGAAGGAAUACCGGUGGCGAAGGCGGCCCCCUGGACAGAUACUGACACUCAGAUGCGAAAGCGUGGGGAGCAAACAGGAUUAGAUACCCUGGUAGUCCACGCCGUAAACGAUGUCUACUUGGAGGUUGUGGCCUUGAGCCGUGGCUUUCGGAGCUAACGCGUUAAGUAGACCGCCUGGGGAGUACGGUCGCAAGAUUAAAACUCAAAUGAAUUGACGGGGGCCCGCACAAGCGGUGGAGCAUGUGGUUUAAUUCGAUGCAACGCGAAGAACCUUACCUACUCUUGACAUCCAGAGAACUUUCCAGAGAUGGAUUGGUGCCUUCGGGAACUCUGAGACAGGUGCUGCAUGGCUGUCGUCAGCUCGUGUUGUGAAAUGUUGGGUUAAGUCCCGCAACGAGCGCAACCCUUAUCCUUGUUUGCCAGCGAGUAAUGUCGGGAACUCCAGGGAGACUGCCGGUGAUAAACCGGAGGAAGGUGGGGACGACGUCAAGUCAUCAUGGCCCUUACGAGUAGGGCUACACACGUGCUACAAUGGCGCAUACAGAGGGCGGCCAACUUGCGAUAGUGAGCGAAUCCCAAAAAGUGCGUCGUAGUCCGGAUUGGAGUCUGCAACUCGACUCCAUGAAGUCGGAAUCGCUAGUAAUCGUGGAUCAGAAUGCCACGGUGAAUACGUUCCCGGGCCUUGUACACACCGCCCGUCACACCAUGGGAGUGGGCUGCAAAAGAAGUAGGUAGUUAACCUUCGGGGGGACGCUUACCACUUUGUGGUUCAUGACUGGGGUGAAUCGAAA
rnacentral:rRNA from 1 species